GGGUGUGACCAUACCAGCACUAACGCACCGGAUCCCAUCAGAACUCCGAAGUUAAGCAUGCUUGGGCGAGAGUAGUACUAGGAUGGGUGACCCCCUGGGAAGUCCUCGUGUUGCACCCU
rnacentral:rRNA from 1 species